rnacentral:rRNA from 1 species
GAUGAACGCUGGCGGCGUGCCUAAUACAUGCAAGUCGAGCGAACAGACGAUGAGCUUGCGCCUCUGACGUUAGCGGCGCACGUGUGAGUAACACGUGGAUAACCCACCUAUAAUACGGGUAUAACUUCGGGAAACCGGAGCUAAUACCGGAGAAUAUCUUGAACCGCAGGGUGCAAUAGUGAAAGACGGUGGUGCUGGCACGAAUAGAGGGAUCCCCGCCGCAUUGGCUGGUUGGUAAGUUAACGGGUUACGAAGGCAACGAGGCGUGGGCGAGCGGAUAGGGUGAUCGGCCACACUGGAGCUGAGCCGCGGUCCAGACUCCUACGGGAGGCAGCAGUAGGCAAUCUUACGCAAUGGGCGAAAGCCUGACGCAGCAACGCCGCGUGAGUGACGACGAUCUUCCGAUCGUAAUGCUCUGUUAUUAGGGAAGAACCACUGUGUAAGUAAAUAUGCCCGGCUUGACGGUAACUAAUCAGAAAGCAACGGCUAACUACGUG